rnacentral:lncRNA from 1 species
GCUCGUCAACUCUAUGACUUGUCGAGACAAGUGUUGUUCACCAUUUAGAUUGGAAGAGCUUGGACGGAAUGUGCCUCCUUGAGCAGUGGAAGUGUGGUAGGCUCCGGGUGUGAGAUUUGAGUUAGGAAAUGUCAAAUCCGCAAAGAAAUGUUGUGAAAUUGCCCCCAGCUUGAUGGUAGGUCCGGAUGGUUGAGAUAGUCUUGAGUCGACUUGGGCUGCUUAGGAGGCCACGGGGG